rnacentral:rRNA from 1 species
UACGUAGGGUGCGAGCGUUGUCCGGAAUUAUUGGGCGUAAAGGGUUCGUAGGCGGUUUGUCACGUCGGGAGUGAAAACUCGGGGCUUAACCCCGAGCCUGCUUCCGAUACGGGCAGACUAGAGGUAUGCAGGGGAGAACGGAAUUCCUGGUGUAGCGGUGAAAUGCGCAGAUAUCAGGAGGAACACCGGUGGCGAAGGCGGUUCUCUGGGCAUUACCUGACGCUGAGGAGCGAAAGUGUGGGGAGCGAACAGG